UCAUAUACACAUACAUACAUACACGUGUAUGCACAUAGUUGGCGAUUCUCUCUGCAUACAUACAUAUGUACAUAUGUUUGGGUUUGUGUUUUCGCAAUUCAUAUCUACUUAUGCUUGCUUGUGCGUUAUCUACCUUUGAACGGCGAUUACUCCAGUUUUUGGAUUGCUCGCUCAGUUUGCUGUGCGCCGACUUUGAAGCUCUUUGAAACUAUUAUAAGGGAUAAUUCUCGGGUCAAUAUCGUCCGUAUCGGGAAUAUCAAUUGACAUGUAAAAAAUCGGCUUUUGAGGUUUGACCAAAUAGGACAAUGGUUACAAAAAAGUGUUUGCUGAAUUCUUGUCGGUUCUGAAAUCAAAAUUUCUUGGUGCUCUGUCGAUUUUGAAGACUUUUACGAACCCCAAAAGCUAAAUCUGCCAUGGACAAGAAAACAUUCAAUAGCGUUGGUACCUGAAAGACCUUGGUUAUUUCAUGCCAUGGAUAUACCUUAAACAAAAUCUUAUUUUAAUUUUGACCAAAAUGGCAACGGUUACAUGUACGUUGUUGCCAAUCUGCGUCGAUUCUCAAAUCAACAUUUUGUGGAAUUCUGUCGAUUUUAAAGACUCACGAAUCACGAAAUUAAAGCCAACUCUGCCACGCCCAUGGACAACAUUUAUUCAGCAAAUGAUCGCUAUUCAUGGUACCUAGUUGACCUAUAUAUCCUUGGUUAUUCCAUAUCAUGGAUAUAGUCCUAGCGAACCUAAAGGACAAUGUUCUUGCGUAAUGCGUAGGAACAGGGUCCAAAAUGUGUAUGCUUUUCCUUAACACCCGCCCCCUGCAACAGUGCCGCCUUCUAGAUGGUUUCUAGUUGACUAGCAUAUCCUUGGUUAUACCAUACCAUCGAUAUAGUCCUUGGGAACCUAUAGGAUCAGAUCCCUGCAAAAUGUGCAUUGAAAUGGUCCAAAAACAUGUAUGCUUUAUCUUUCAGGAGCCCUUUUACAUUAGCUGCAGCUGCAGCUGUUGUUUAACAGUCGCCGUACAGCACUCAUUUUAC